rfam:Cavia porcellus supercont2_98 genomic scaffold, whole genome shotgun sequence.
GGGGAUUUAGCUCAGCGGCAUAAGCGCCUGUCUUGCAAGCAGGCAGUUGUGAGUUCAAUCCCUG